UACGUAGGGGGCAAGCGUUGUUCGGAAUUACUGGGCGUAAAGGGCGCGUAGGCGGUACGACAAGUCAGGAGUGAAAGCCCGGGGCUCAACCCCGGAACGGCUUUUGAAACUGUCGAACUAGAGUGCAGAAGAGGCAACCGGAAUUCCCAGUGUAGCGGUGAAAUGCGUAGAUAUUGGGAAGAACACCUGAGGCGAAGGCGGGUUGCUGGGCUGACACUGACGCUGAGGCGCGAAAGCCAGGGGAGCGAACGGG
rnacentral:rRNA from 1 species